AGAAAAGAUGCAAAGAAUUAUUCAUGUUCUUCUCCUUUAAGCCAACGGGUAAUAGAAAGGCAAGAUCGCACAUAUUCAUGGAAAAUGGUCAAAGGAUCGGACUCAAGCUCGAAUUUAGGAAAUUAAGGUUGCAUGACUUAAUGCACGAUGUUAGGAAGGCUUGAGGUUUAGGUUUCGGGGGUCACAAUGGGACCAUGAUGUUAUGAGAGUCUUAGUGGGAGUACCAGAGUACAAUGAUGAGGACUUUGAGUGGUCAUGUAGGGAUUAUAAAUUUAUUCGAGUUGGUUGUAAAUUGUUCAUUACAUAUUUUGUUUUCAA